AAUAACAUAGAGCAAUGACCGAGUAAUGAUAU
rnacentral:guide_RNA from 1 species